rnacentral:rRNA from 1 species
GAUGAACGCUGGCGGCGUGCCUAAUACAUGCAAGUCGAGCGAAUGGAUUAAGAGCUUGCUCUUAUGAAGUUAGCGGCGGACGGGUGAGUAACACGUGGGUAACCUGCCCAUAAGACUGGGAUAACUCCGGGAAACCGGGGCUAAUACCGGAUAACAUUUUGAACCGCAUGGUUCGAAAUUGAAAGGCGGCUUCGGCUGUCACUUAUCGAUGGACCCGCGUGGCAUUAGCUAGUUGGUGAGGUAACGGCUCACCAAGGCAACGAUGGGUAGCCGGCCUGAGAGGGUGAUCGGCCACACGGGGACUGAGACACGGCCCAGACUCCUACGGGAGGCAGCAGUAGGGAAUCUUCCGCAAUGGACGAAAGUCUGACGGAGCAACGCCGCGUGAGUGAUGAAGGCUUUCGGGUCGUAAAACCCUGUUGUUAGGGAAGAACAAGUGCUAGUUGAAUAAGCUGGCACCUUGACGGUACCUAACCAGAAAGCCACGGCUAACUACGUGCCAGCCGCCGCAGUAA